GAUGAACGCUGGCGGCGUGCCUAAUACAUGCAAGUCGAGCGAACGGACGAGAAGCUUGCUCCUCUGAUGUUAGCGGCGGACGGGUGAGUAACACGUGGAUAACCUACCUAUAAGACUGGGAUAACUUCGGGAAACCGGAGCUAAUACCGGAUGAUAUUUUGAACCGCAUGGUUCAAAAGUGAAAGACGGUCUUGCUGUCACUUAUAGAUGGAUCCGCGCUGCAUUAGCUAGUUGGUAAGGUAACGGCUUACCAAGGAAACGAUGCAUAGCCGACCUGAGAGGGUUAUUGGCCACCCCGGAACUUGGACACGGUUCAGACUCCUACGGGGAGCAGCAGUAGGGAAUCUUCCGCAAUGGGCGAAAGCCUUACGGAGCAACGCCGGGUGAGUGAUGAAGGUCUUCGGAUCGUAAAACUCUGUUAUUAGGGAAGAACAAAUGUGUAAGUAACUGUGCACAUCUUGACGGUACCUAAUCAGAAAGCCACGGCUAACUACGUU
rnacentral:rRNA from 1 species